rnacentral:rRNA from 1 species
AUUGAACGCUGGCGGCAGGCCUAACACAUGCAAGUCGAACGAGUGGCGGACGGGUGAGUAAUGUCUGGGAAACUGCCUGAUGGAGGGGGAUAACUACUGGAAACGGUAGCUAAUACCGCAUACCAUCGGAUGAGCCCAGAUGGUAUUAGCUAGUAGGUGGGGUAAAGGCUCACCUGGGCGACGCACCCUAGCUGGUCUGAGAGGAUGCGCAUGAACACUUGCCUUGCGACCCGGACCAGAUUCCUACGUGAGGCAGCAGUGGGGAAUAUUGCAAAAUGGGCGCAAGCCUGAUGCAGCCAUGCCGGGGGUAGGAAGAAGGCCUUCGGGUUGUAAAGUACUUUCAGCGGGGAGGCGUUACCCGAAGAAGAAGCCCCUGCUAAAGCCGUGACAGCAGCCGCGGUAAUAC